rnacentral:rRNA from 1 species
GUGCCAGCCGCCGCGGUACUACCAGCUCUCCGAGUGGUGGGGAUGAUUAUUGGGCCUAAAGCAUCCGUAGCCGGCUGGACAAGUCCCCUGUUAAAUCCAACGAUCCAAUCGUUGGUCUGCGGGGGAUACUGUCCGGCUUGGGGGCGGGAGAGGCCGCCGGUAUUUCCGGGGUAGGGGUGAAAUCCUAUAAUCCCGGGAGGACCACCAGUGGCGAAGGCUGUCGGCUAGAACGCGCCCGACGGUGAGGGAUGAAAGCUGGGGGAGCGAACCGGAUUAGAUACCCGGGUAGUCCCAGCUGUAAACGAUGCAGGCUAGGUGUUAGGGCGGCUACGUGCCGCUCUAGUGCCGCAGGGAAGCCGUUAAGCCUGCCGCCUGGGGAGUACGGUCGCAAGGCUGAAACUUAAAUGAAUUGACGGGG